rnacentral:rRNA from 1 species
UUAAGCAUAUCAAUAAGCGGAGGAAAAGAAACCAACAGGGAUUGCCCUAGUAACGGCGAGUGAAGCGGCAACAGCUCAAAUUUGAAAUCUGGCGCAAGCCCGAGUUGUAAUUUGUAGAGGAUGUUUCUGGCGACGUGCCUUCCGAGUUCCCUGGAACGGGACGCCAUAGAGGGUGAGAGCCCCGUACGGUUGGAUGCCUAGCCUCUGUGAAACUCCUUCGACGAGUCGAGUAGUUUGGGAAUGCUGCUCUAAAUGGGAGGUAUACGUCUUCUAAAGCUAAAUACCGGCCAGAGACCGAUAGCGCACAAGUAGAGUGAUCGAAAGAUGAAAAGCACUUUGAAAAGAGGGUUAAAAAGUACGUGAAAUUGUUGAAAGGGAAGCGUUCAUGACCAGACUUGGGCAGGUUGAUCAUCCGUGGUUCUCCGCGGUGCACUCUGCCUGCCCAGGCCAGCAUCAGUUCGCCCCGGGGGAUAAAGGCUCUGGGAAUGUGGCUCCUCCGGGAGUGUUAUAGCCCACUGCGUAAUACCCUGGGGUGGACUGAGGUUCGCGCUCUGCAAGGAUGCUGGCGUAAUGGUCAUCAACGACCCGUCUUGAAACACGGACCAAGGAGUCGUCUUCGUAUGCGAGUGUUCGGGUGUCAAACCCCUACGCGUAAUGAAAGUGAACGUAGGAGAGAGCUUCGGCGCAUCUCCGACCGAUCCUGAUGUUCUCGGAUGGAUUUGAGUAAGAGCAUACGGGGCCGGACCCGAAAGAAGGUGAACUAUGCCUGUAUAGGGUGAAGCCAGAGGAAACUCUGGUGGAGGCUCGCAGCGGUUCUGACGUGCAAAUCGAUCGUCAAAUAUG